rnacentral:tRNA from 1 species
GCCUCUGGUAGAAUAGUGAUUAGUGUUCUAGUCUGGUAGACCGGAGGUGGUGGGUUCGAUUCCUACCUGAGGCA